UACGAAGGGGGCUAGCGUUGCUCGGAAUCACUGGGCGUAAAGCGCACGUAGGCGGACUCUUAAGUCAGGGGUGAAAUCCUGGAGCUCAACUCCAGAACUGCCUUUGAUACUGAGAGCCUUGAGUCCGGAAGAGGUAAGUGGAACUGCGAGUGUAGAGGUGAAAUUCGUAGAUAUUCGCAAGAACACCAGUGGCGAAGGCGGCUCACUGGCCCGAUACUGACGCUGAGGUGCGAAAGCGUGGGGAGCGAACAGG
rnacentral:rRNA from 1 species